UGCAAGUCGAACGGUAACAGCAGAGCUUGCUCUGGCUGACGAGUGGCGCACGGGUGCGUAACGCGUAUACAAUCUGCCUAUUACUGGGGUAUAGCCCGAAGAAAUUUGGAUUAACCCCCCAUAGUAUUGAGAUAAGGCAUCUUAUUUCAAUUAAAACCACGGUGGUAAUAGAUGAGUAUGCGUCCUAUUAGUUUGUUGGUAAGGUAACGGCUUACCAAGACUUCGAUAGGUAGGGGUCCUGAGAGGGAGAUCCCCCACACUGGUACUGAGACACGGACCAGACUCCUACGGGAGGCAGCAGUGAGGAAUAUUGGACAAUGGAGGCAACUCUGAUCCAGCCAUGCCGCGUGCAGGAAGACUGCCCUAUGGGUUGUAAACUGCUUUUAUAGAGGAAGAAACCUCCCUUCGUGAAGGGAAUUGACGGUACUCUACGAAUAAGGAUCGGCUAACUCCGUGCCAGCAGCCGCGGUAAUACGGAGGAUCCAAGCGUUAUCCGGAAUCAUUGGGUUUAAAGGGUCCGUAGGCGGACUAAUAAGUCAGUGGUGAAAGUCUGCAGCUCAACUGUAGAAUUGCCAUUGAUACUGUUAGUCUUGAGUCAUUAUGAAGUGGUUAGAAUGAGUGGUGUAGCGGUGAAAUGCAUAGAUAUCACUCAGAAUACCGAUUGCGAAGGCAGAUCACUAAUAAUGUACUGACGCUGAUGGACGAAAGCGUAGGUAGCGAACAGGAUUAGAUACCCUGGUAGUCUACGCCGUAAACGAUGGUUACUAGCUGUUUGGUCGAUUGAGACUGAGUGGCUAAGCGAAAGUGAUAAGUAACCCACCUGGGGAGUACGUUCGCAAGAAUGAAACUCAAAGGAAUUGACGGGGGCCCGCACAAGCGGUGGAGCAUGUGGUUUAAUUCGAUGAUACGCGAGGAACCUUACC
rnacentral:rRNA from 1 species